rnacentral:rRNA from 1 species
GGUUAAGUGAAUAAGGGCGCACGGUGGAUGCCUUGGCACUAGGAGCCGAUGAAGGACGGGACUAACACCGAUAUGCUUUGGGGAGCUGUAAGUAAGCUAUGAUCCAGAGAUUUCCGAAUGGGGGAACCCAAUAUCUUUUAUAGGAUAUUACUUUUCAGUGAAUACAUAGCUGAUUAGAGGUAGACGCAGAGAACUGAAACAUCUUAGUACCUGCAGGAAGAGAAAGAAAAUUCGAUUCCCUGAGUAGCGGCGAGCGAAACGGGAAGAGCCCAAACCAACAAGCUUGCUUGUUGGGGUUGUAGGACUCCGAUAUGGUAGUCUGUUAGUAUAGUUGAAGGAUUUGGAAAAUUCCGCUAAAGAGGGUGAAAGCCCCGUAGACGAAAUGCUGACAACACCUAGGAGGAUCCUGAGUACGGCGGAACACGAGAAAUUCCGUCGGAAUCCGCGGGGACCAUCCCGCAAGGCUAAAUACUCCCUAGUGACCGAUAGUGAACCAGUACCGUGAGGGAAAGGUGAAAAGCACCCCGGAAGGGGAGUGAAAUAGAUCCUGAAACCGUGUGCCUACAACAAGUCAAAGCUCGUUAAUGAGUGAUGGCGUGCCUUUUGUAGAAUGAACCGGCGAGUUACGAUUGCAUGCGAGGUUAAGUCGAAGAGACGGAGCCGCAGCGAAA